AACGCUAGCUACAGGCUUAACACAUGCAAGUCGCGGGGUAACAUCUGGGAGAGCUUGCUCUUCCAGGAUGACGACCGGCGCACGGGUGAGUAACGCGUAUCCAACCUGGCCCAUACCACGGGAUAGCCCGUCGAAAGGCGGAUUAAUACCGUAUGCUGUCAUUAAGAUGCAUAUAUUGAUGACGAAAGGACUGGCGGUAUGGGAUGGGGAUGCGUCUGAUUAGCUUGUUGGCGGGGUAACGGCCCACCAAGGCGACGAUCAGUAGGGGUUCUGAGAGGAAGGUCCCCCACAUUGGAACUGAGACACGGUCCAAACUCCUACGGGAGGCAGCAGUGAGGAAUAUUGGUCAAUGGGCGAGAGCCUGAACCAGCCAAGUAGCGUGCAGGAUGACGGCCCUAUGGGUUGUAAACUGCUUUUAUGCGGGGAUAAAGUGGGGGAUGCAUCCCUUUUUGCAGGUACCGCAUGAAUAAGGACCGGCUAAUUCCGUGCCAGCAGCCGCGGUAAUACGGAAGGUCCGGGCGUUAUCCGGAUUUAUUGGGUUUAAAGGGAGCGUAGGCUGGAGAUUAAGCGUGUUGUGAAAUGCCGCGGCUCAACCGUGGCACUGCAGCGCGAACUGGUUUCCUUGAGUGCGCUGAAAGUGGGCGGAAUUUGUGGUGUAGCGGUGAAAUGCUUAGAUAUCACGAAGAACUCCGAUUG
rnacentral:rRNA from 1 species